rnacentral:rRNA from 1 species
GACGAACCGUGCGAACGUUGUUCGGAUUCACUGGGCUUAAAGGGCGCGUAGGCGGAAGGUCAAGUCCGAGGUGAAAUCUUUCGGCUCAACCGGAAAAAGUGCCUUGGAUACUGAUCGCCUCGAGGGAGGUAGGGGCAUGUGGAACUUCCGGUGGAGCGGUGAAAUGCGUAGAUAUCGGAAGGAACGCCGGUGGCGAAAGCGACGUGCUGGACCUCUUCUGACGCUGAGGCGCGAAGGCCAGGGGAGCAAACGGG